rnacentral:rRNA from 1 species
CGGACGGGUGCGUAACGCGUAGGAAUCUGCCUAUUAGUGGGGGACAACGUGGUGAAAACCACGCUAAUACCGCAUACGCCCUACGGGGGAAAGCGGGGGAUCUUCGGACCUCGCGCUAAUAGAUGAGCCUGCGUUAGAUUAGCUAGUUGGUGAGGUAAUGGCUCACCAAGGCGACGAUCUAUAGCUGGUCUGAGAGGACGAUCAGCCACACUGGGACUGAGACACGGUCCAG